rnacentral:rRNA from 1 species
UACGGAGGGGGCUAGCGUUGCUCGGAAUUACUGGGCGUAAAGCGCACGUAGGCGGAUCAGCAAGUUAGGGGUGAAAUCCCGGGGCUCAACCCCGGAACUGCCUUUAAGACUGUUGGUCUGGAGUCCGAGAGAGGUGAGUGGAAUUCCGAGUGUAGAGGUGAAAUUCGUAGAUAUUCGGAGGAACACCAGUGGCGAAGGCGGCUCACUGGCUCGGUACUGACGCUGAGGUGCGAAAGCGUGGGGAGCAAACAGG